rnacentral:rRNA from 1 species
ACAAUGGAGAGUUUGAUCCUGGCUCAGGAUGAACGCUAGCGGCAGGCUUAAUACAUGCAAGUCGUGGGGCAGCGCGGGUAGCAAUAUCUGGCGGCGACCGGCAAACGGGUGCGGAACACGUACGCAACCUUCCUUCAAGUGGGGGAUAGCCCAGGGAAACUUGGAUUAAUACCCCGUAAUAUUAUGAGGUGGCAUCAUCUUAUAAUUAUAGCUUCGGCGCUUGGAGAUGGGCGUGCGGCUGAUUAGGUAGUUGGCGGGGUAACGGCCCACCAAGCCUGCGAUCAGUAACUGGUGUGAGAGCACGACCAGUCACACGGGCACUGAGACACGGGCCCGACUCCUACGGGAGGCAGCAGUAAGGAAUAUUGGUCAAUGGACGCAAGUCUGAACCAGCCAUGCC